rnacentral:rRNA from 1 species
UUGAACGCUGGCGGCAGGCCUAACACAUGCAAGUCGAACGGUAACAGGAAACAGCUUGCUGUUUCGCUGACGAGUGGCGGACGGGUGAGUAAUGUCUGGGAAACUGCCUGAUGGAGGGGGAUAACUACUGGAAACGGUAGCUAAUACCGCAUAACGUCGCAAGACCAAAGAGGGGGACCCUCGGGCCUCUUGCCAUCGGAUGUGCCCAGAUGGGAUUAGCCUGUUGGUGGGGUAACGGCUCACCAAGGCGACGAUCCCUAGCUGGUCUGAGAGGAUGACCAGCCACACUGGAACUGAGACACGGUCCAGACUCCUACGGGAGGCAGCAGUGGGGAAUAUUGCACAAUGGGCGCAAGCCUGAUGCAGCCAUGCCGCGUGUAUGAAGAAGGCCUUCGGGUUGUAAAGUACUUUCAGCGGGGAGGAAGGGAGUAAAGUUAAUACCUUUGCCCAUUGACGUUACCCGCAGAAGAAGCACCGGCUAACUCCGUG